rnacentral:rRNA from 1 species
AUCUACAGGCUUAACACAUGCAAGUCGAGGGGCAGCAUGGUCUUAGCUUGCUAAGGCCGAUGGCGACCGGCGCACGGGUGAGUAACACGUAUCCAACCUGCCGUCUACUCUUGGACAGCCUUCUGAAAGGAAGAUUAAUACAAGAUGGCAUCAUGAGUCCGCAUGUUCACAUGAUUAAAGGUAUUCCGGUAGACGAUGGGGAUGCGUUCCAUUAGAUAGUAGGCGGGGUAACGGCCCACCUAGUCUUCGAUGGAUAGGGGUUCUGAGAGGAAGGUCCCCCACAUUGGAACUGAGACACAGUCCAAACUCCUACGGGAGGCAGCAGUGAGGAAUAUUGGUCAAUGGGCGAGAGCCUGAACCAGCCAAGUAGCGUGAAGGAUGACUGCCCUAUGGGUUGUAAACUUCUUUUAUAAAGGAAUAAAGUCGGGUAUGGAUACCCGUUUGCAUGUACUUUAUGAAUAAGGAUCGGCUAACUCCGUGCCAGCAGCCGCGGUAAUACGGAGGAUCCGAGCGUUAUCCGGAUUUAUUGGGUUUAAAGGGAGCGUAGAUGGAUGUUUAAGUCAGUUGUGAAAGUUUGCGGCUCAACCGUAAAAUUGCAGUUGAUACUGGAUAUCUUGAGUGCAGUUGAGGCAGGCGGAAUUCGUGGUGUAGCGGUGAAAUGCUUAGAUAUCACGAAGAACUCCGAUUGCGAAGGCAGCCUGCUAAGCUGCAACUGACAUUGAGGCUCGAAAGUGUGGGUAUCAAACAGGAUUAGAUACCCUGGUAGUCCACACGGUAAACGAUGAAUACUCGCUGUUUGCGAUAUACGGCAAGCGGCCAAGCGAAAGCGUUAAGUAUUCCACCUGGGGAGUACGCCGGCAACGGUGAAACUCAAAGGAAUUGACGGGGGCCCGCACAAGCGGAGGAACAUGUGGUUUAAUUCGAUGAUACGCGAGGAACCUUACCCGGGCUUAAAUUGCAGAUGAAUUACGGUGAAAGCCGUAAGCCGCAAGGCAUCUGUGAAGGUGCUGCAUGGUUGUCGUCAACUCGUGCCGUGAGGUGUCGGCUUAAGUGCCAUAACGAGCGCAACCCUUGUUGUCAGUUACUAACAGGUUCUGCUGAGGACUCUGACAAGACUGCCAUCGUAAGAUGUGAGGAAGGUGGGGAUGACGUCAAAUCAGCACGGCCCUUACGUCCGGGGCUACACACGUGUUACAAUGGGGGGUACAGAGGGCCGCUACCACGCGAGUGGAUGCCAAUCCCAAAAACCUCUCUCAGUUCGGACUGGAGUCUGCAACCCGACUCCACGAAGCUGGAUUCGCUAGUAAUCGCGCAUCAGCCACGGCGCGGUGAAUACGUUCCCGGGCCUUGUACACACCGCCCGUCAAGCCAUGGGAGCCGGGGGUACCUGAAGUGCGUAACCGCGAGGAGCGCCCUAGGGUAAAACUGGUGACUGGGGCUAA